rnacentral:rRNA from 1 species
CCUACGGGUGGCAGCAGUGGGGAAUAUUGCGCAAUGGAGGAAACUCUGACGCAGCCAUGCCGCGUGCAGGAAGACGGCCCUACGGGUUGUAGACUGCUUUUAUUUGAGAAGAAACCCUGGUACGUGUACCAGGCUGACGGUAUCAAAUGAGUAAGCACCGGCUAACUCCGUGCCAGCGGCCGCGGUAAUACGGAGGGUGCAAGCGUUAUCCGGAUUUAUUGGGUUUAAAGGGUGCGUAGGCGGGACAUUAAGUCAGUGGUGAAAGCCUGUAGCUCAACUACAGAACUGCCAUUGAUACUGAUGUUCUUGAAUUUGGUUGAGGUAGGCGGAAUACGUCAUGUAGCGGUGAAAUGCAUAGAUAUGACGUGGAACACCGAUCGCGAAGGCAGCUUACCAAACCAACAUUGACGCUAAUGCACGAAAGCGUGGGUAGCGAACAGGAUUAGAUACCCUGGUAGUC